rnacentral:rRNA from 1 species
GAAGGGACCUAGCGUAGUUCGGAAUUACUGGGCUUAAAGAGUUCGUAGGUGGUUGAAAAAGUUAGUGGUGAAAUCCCAGAGCUUAACUCUGGAACUGCCAUUAAAACUUUUCAGCUAGAGUAUGAUAGAGGAAAGCAGAAUUUCUAGUGUAGAGGUGAAAUUCGUAGAUAUUAGAAAGAAUACCAAUUGCGAAGGCAGCUUUCUGGAUCAUUACUGACACUGAGGAACGAAAGCAUGGGUAGCGAAGAGGAUUAGAUACCCUCGUAGUCCAUGCCGUAAACGAUGUGUGUUAGACGUUGGAAAUUUAUUUUCAGUGUCGCAGCGAAAGCGAUAAACACACCGCCUGGGGAGUACGACCGCAAGGUUAAAACUCAAAUGAAUUGACGGGGACCCGCACAAGUAGUGGAGCAUGUGGUUUAAUUCGAAGAUACGCGCAGAACCUUACCAACACUUGACAUGUUCGUCGCGACUCUAAGAGAUUAGAGUUUUCGGUUCGGCCGGACGAAACACAGGUGCUGCAUGGCUGUCGUCAGCUCGUGUCGUGAGAUGUUGGGUUAAGUCCCGCAACGAGCGCAACCCUCACUUUUAGUUGCCAUCAUUUAGUUGGGCACUCUGAAAGAACUGCCAGUGAUAAGCUGGAGGAAGGUGGGGAUGACGUCAAGUCCUCAUGGCCCUUACGUGUUGGGCUACACACGUGCUACAAUGGUAUCUACAACAGGAAGCAAGACCGCGAGGUUUAGCAAAUCCUUAAAAGAUACCUCAGUUCGGAUUGCACUCUGCAACUCGAGUGCAUGAAGCUGGAAUUACUAGUAAUCGUGGAUCAGCGUGCCACGGUGAAUGCGUUCCC